AUACGGAGGGUGCAAGCGUUAUUCGGAAUCACUGGGCGUAAAGGACGCGUAGGCGGGUUGGCAAGUCAGAUGUGAAAUCCUACAGCUUAACUGUAGAACUGCAUUUGAAACUGCUAACCUAGAGUAUGAGAGGGGGAGAUGGAAUUAGUGGUGUAGGGGUAAAAUCCGUAGAUAUCACUAGGAAUACCGAAAGCGAAGGCGAUCUCCUGGAACAUAACUGACGCUAAGGCGUGAAAGCGUGGGGAGCAAACAGAAUUAGAUACCCUUGUAGUCC
rnacentral:rRNA from 1 species